ACGUAGGUGGCGAGCGUUAUCCGGAAUGAUUGGGCGUAAAGGGUGCGUAGGUGGCAGAUCAAGUCUGGAGUAAAAGGUAUGGGCUCAACCCGUACUGGCUCUGGAAACUGAUCAGCUAGAGAACAGAAGAGGACGGCGGAACUCCAUGUGUAGCGGUAAAAUGCGUAGAUAUAUGGAAGAACACCGGUGGCGAAGGCGGCCGUCUGGUCUGGAUUCUGACACUGAAGCACGAAAGCGUGGGGAGCAAAUAGGAUUAGAUACCCUAGUAGUCCACGCCGUAAACGAUGAGAACUAGGUGUUGGGGGAAUAACUCAGUGCCGCAGUUAACGCAGUAAGUUCUCCGCCUGGGGAGUAUGCACGCAAGUGUG
rnacentral:rRNA from 1 species